AUGAUCUAUUACCAGACCCUACUGCAUGAAUGUGGACUCAGGUGGUGCUGAACCUGCAAACAACCACGAUUACAGAUGGCAGGUGGAUGGAGCUAAAGAUAGCUCAAGACAGAAAUUCUUCUGUAUCUCCUUACUAUUUUCUUCUAUCAGACGUAGAAAAUUUAAAACAUAAAUUUAAGAGAUGGGGUAGUAUGCCAAGUACUUAGCAAAACUCACUGGACAAAAAAACUAAAUUCAAAUCUAAGCCCAACAGUGAAGAUAUUAUUAGAAAUUUCAUCAUAUGUAAAUUAAAUAUGAUAAUUACCUUCCUUCUUGUUUCCCUCUAUAGAGGAUGGAACGGUACCAGUUACCCUAGUUGGGGAGGUGGUAGAGGUGAUGAAGAGUCACAUUAUGAGAUAUUGUCAGUAACAUUUCCUGUCUAUGGCUUCUGCAUAGACUCCUGCAGGUAUUCUGAGCAGGGAGAACAAGAGAACCACUGCCAGCUCAAGACUUCCAGGAGAAGCUCAGAUCUAUGGAAGAACACCAUGCCCUUUCCCAAUGGAUACAGGAAGAAGUUAUUCCUAUCAGCUUGUGUUUAAUGUUAUGAAUCUGACUUACUUGUCAGCAUCAUGAUUCAUGACAGUGAACAGAGAGAGCGUGAAGCCUGCAUUUCCGUGGGGUGGGAAUAGAUUAUAGUAUUUAGACAGCUUUCAUGUCCAGUCUCAGCCAGUCUUGCUGGACAUAAAAGAAACUUCAGAAAAUUCUCCAGAUCUGCUACAGACUCAGCGAGAUCCAGGGAGAUGAAUCAUUACUUGCUGAAGGUAAGUGUCAUGAAUAUAUCAUUGACGCUUACACCAGCAACCUCAGGGAAAAAUCCUGUUCUUGUGUGGGAAUGAAAAAUGCACAUUAAUCCUAAAUAAAAUUAGAGAUAUGUGUUGAGAUUUUCUCUGU
rnacentral:lncRNA from 1 species